rnacentral:lncRNA from 1 species
GGGUUCACAGGCAGAGGCUUGUAGGCCUCGUCCCGUAUUAGUCAAAGUGGUGAUGAGCACAACUUCCCUUCAUGAUCAGCAAACAGACAGGUUUCCUCCCCUUGGGUUACCUCCAAAAGUAACCAGGCCCAGGAGAAGUUUCUAAGACAUGGGGCCAGUGGAGGAACUAAGCUCUACCACAAGAUCCAACGUGUCCAGCCC